UUUAAUAAUCCAUUUUUGGGAACCCGUUUAAUGUAUGUGCAGAUCCCAGUUUAUUAUGUAUUUGCAAUAAUGAUUACAGUUUGCCUUUAGGAUUAAAAUGGAAGGACUUGGCUAGACACACCGAGCAUAUCAACUGAGAAUGCUCCCGAAGAGAGAUCUAAUGGUCCCCUGCAGCGUUCAUAACAUUGAAAUUUGUGCAUAUAAGGAUGGGGUCUAUUCUUCUUCGUUUAUAAUUUGAUUGAUAUGUUUCAUUUUAUUUUGAAGAUACCGGUUUGAAAUCAUCGAAAAGGAAACUAUUAGCGAAAGAGAAAAAUAAUUUUAGGGUUUUCACAUAACCUAACUGAAACCCUAAUCUCCAUUACAGAUUUUUAUAUUGAGGCGAUUUCUGUUGGACCAAACAAUCCUAAUAAUUGGACAAGUUCUCUGGAGUUUUUAGUACAUGAAGCUAGGAUAAUUUUAAUUAAUUGGUAUAGUUUUUUUCGGCUCAAUCAUAUGCGUAUCCUCCUAAAUUUGUUUUUUUUUUUAUGAACUUGCAGCCUAAUUUUUAUCUGCCUGGUCCGGGCUAAAUCAAUUACCCUGGUCAUGAUCUUCCGCAAGUUAUCCGAUUGAAUUUGAACUGCGUGUUUGUCUGGAAAUCGGGUCUGUGGUUGAGAAUUUCAGAAUCCAUAUACAGAUUUCGGCAGAAUGGUGUAAUGAUGGUACUGCAUGCAUUUACUUAUUACUUGGGUUCUAAUUCUUUUGUAGUCUGGUGUAAGGAGACAGAACUUGGAAGGAUAAACAACUUAAAGUCACAAGUCAAAGACUCAAAAGCCAUUAGAGCUUGGUACAGAGUUUAGCAAAGAGAAUGUUCUGCGAAGAAAAUGUAGGAAAUAUUUGCUGAAGAGUGGAACCAAAUAUUCUGAUUGUGCAAGGAUUUCCUGGAAAACAGACGACAAGAGGUAUGCUCUAAAAACUAUUGAACACAACACUCAAACCAGUGUAUUUAAUUUAAAAUUCAAAUUUAAACCGAAUUCAUAGGCUUUUUAAUAAUGAUUUUAAUUGCAUGAUCUUGAUGCAGUUUAAUUUUUACAAUAUUAACACUGUGUGAUGCUGUUAGGUAUGUUACAGUUGAUUGACUGAUGAGACUAAGACCAUGAGCAAAUCUUUUAGAAUGCUACCCAGGAACACGACCGAGGCCUAGCUGGAUUUUUUCUACCUUUUUUUAUAUACCAUGGUUUAUCUUUUUGUUCUAAUGUAGCCAUUGAGAACAAGCUUCUUGAGUUGCAGCUGGUAUUUUUUUGCUUUCCCCAUUCAAUCAAGCAAUGGAACAAUGACAACUAUGAUGUACUCUUCAAUUUCUGAAGGUUGGGUAUUCAUUAUGAACAUGAUAGUGUUGGUAGAGAGUCACGUGAACACUAGACACCAGUAAAGAUGAGCUUGUGGCAUCGAAUGUACAAAAAACACUACAACAGAUCUUUGUUCUUAUAUACUUCUCAUACAGAGUAUCAAGUGAUGUGGACUAUGGAUCACUAAGCGGGUUGACAAGUCUUAUUUUAUUUCAUAAAGCGUGUAAAAUAAUAUUUUC